rnacentral:rRNA from 1 species
GACGAACGCUGGCGGCGUGCUUAACACAUGCAAGUCGAGCGGUAAGGCCCUUUCGGGGGUACACGAGCGGCGAACGGGUGAGUAACACGUGGGUGACCUGCCUCUAGCUCUGGGAUAAGCCCGGGAAACUGGGUCUAAUACUGGAUAUGACUCCAUGACGCAUGUUGUGGGGUGGAAAGCCUUGUGCGGCUAGAGAUGGGCCCGCGGCCUAUCAGCUUGUUGGUGGGGGAUGGCCUACCAAGGCGACGACGGGUAGCCGGCCUGAGAGGGCGACGGCCACACUGGGACUGAGACACGGCCCAGACUCCUACGGGAGGCAGCAGUGGGGAAUCUUGCGCAAUGGGCGAAAGCCUGACGCAGCGACGCCGCGUGAGGGAUGACGG